rnacentral:rRNA from 1 species
UGGGGAAUUUUGGACAAUGGGGGCAACCCUGAUCCAGCCAUGCCGCGUGAGUGAAGAAGGCCUUCGGGUUGUAAAGCUCUUUCGGCGGGGACGAAACGGUCCGUGACAACACCACGGACUAAUGACAGUACUCGCAGAAGAAGCACCGGCUAACUACGUGCCAACAGCCGCGGUAAUACGUAGGGUGCAGGCGUUAAUCGGAAUUACUGGGCGUAAAGCGUGCGCAGGCGGCUCCUUAAGUCAGAUGUGAAAUCCCCGGGCUUAACCUGGGAACUGCGUUUGAAACUGAGGGGCUAGAGUGUGGAAGAGGGGGGUGGAAUUCCAGGUGUAGCAGUGAAAUGCGUAGAGAUCUGGAGGAACACCUGAGGUGAAGACGGGUUGCUGGGCUGACACUGACGCUGAGGCGCGAAAGCGUGGGGAGCAAACAGGAUUAGAUACCCGCGUAGUCCCUGAGCGGGCUGGCAAGGCGCAU